CCUAAUCUGGACGCAGAGGUAGGCUAAAUCCUGUUUGUCCAGAGAGUGUGCCAGGGCCAGGUAGGUCGACAGAGUCCCCGCCAGCAGGAGCCGGUCCAGGGACAAGGCCGGCAGGAACCACAGCACGACACCCAGCUCCAGGCACACCGGGUGGCGGAGGGCCAGUGCGGUGGUGAAACAGUAUGCCGUCCGGUUCAGGGCCCCCAGCACCGACUGGAGAGCCUGUUUGACGGGCGCCCAGGCCAGCAGACUGUGCUGGGUGGUGAAGAGAGCCAGCAGCCCCACGUCCACAACCAGGGACCAGAGGACGGAGCCGUCCUGCAGCGCCUCCGCCCACGGGAUGGAGUCUGAGGUUCAGGCAAACGACGGGAACAAGAGGAGGAGGGAACAGAACUGAACAUUAGUUAGUUUAAAUAACACAUACAGUAGAAACCUACUUUAUUUGAACUGUUUAAUCGUUUUCUCAUAACACUGUAGAGUUGUGUACAUUCCAUUCAUGGCCUGAUAACACGCGGUCAUCCACGGAGCCACUGAGAACACACCACUACUGUUCACAGGCACUCAGGCAUCAAACGUGUGACAGAAUUUACACAAUGUUCUAAAUGGAUUUACAUCAAAGACCAAUUGUCACUGCAACACAAAUGAACAUUUUGUCCAAAUAAAAUCGUUGAAUUUAAUUAAAUUCAAUUUGAGUUAAAUUAAAUCAAAUCAAACAAUUGAUGUAAUUUCCCUGAGAUCUUUGGAAAGUGUUUGUGUUUCCACUGAGGGACAACAAAACAAAUCGUUGUUGUUAGCUGGUCUUGUGUUUAGUUUUUUUGUGACCAUAGUGUUUUAUGGUUUGUUGUUGUGUUAUGUUAUUUGCCGUUGAACAGCUGGUGGUCAAACUACAAAAAAAACUUAUAAUGAUGUUGGGAUAUUAUUACUUUAGAGACCUCGGUGAUGUCGUGUGAGUGAAAUGUUUGUGGCUGCAGGAAUCAACACUUUCUGAUCUGUCCUAACAAAUCUGAUAUACUCUUAUAAACUUAUAAAC